rnacentral:rRNA from 1 species
GACGAACCGUGCGAACGUUGUUCGGAAUCACUGGGCUUAAAGGGCGCGUAGGCGGGCAGGCAAGUCGAAGGUGAAAUCCCACGGCUCAACCGUGGAAGUGCCCCCGAUACUGCCUGUCUUGAGGGGGAUAGGGGCGUGCGGAACUUCCGGUGGAGCGGUGAAAUGCGUAGAUAUCGGAAGGAACACCGGUGGCGAAAGCGGCGCGCUGGAUCCCUUCUGACGCUGAGGCGCGAAAGCCAGGGGAGCAAACGGG